rnacentral:rRNA from 1 species
UACGGGGGGGGGGCAAGCGUUGUUCGGAAUUACUGGGCGUAAAGGGCUCGUAGGCGGCCAACUAAGUCAUACGUGAAAUCCCUCGGCUUAACCGGGGAACUGCGUCUGAUACUGGAUGGCUUGAGAUUGGGAGAGGGAUGCGGAAUUCCAGGUGUAGCGGUGAAAUGCGUAGAGAUCUGGAGGAACACCGAUGGCGAAGGCAGCCUUCUGGGCCAACACUGACGCUCAUGCACGAAAGCGUGGGGAGCAAACAGG